AAUCAACGCUGGCGGCGUGCCUCAGACAUGCAAGUCGAACGAUUAAGACUUCCUUCGGGAAGUGCAUAAAGUGGCGCACGGGUGAGUAACACGUAAGUAAUCUACCCUCGAGUGGGGAAUAACAUCGGGAAACCGAUGCUAAUACCGCAUAACGCAGCGGCACCGCAAGGUGACAGUUGUUAAAGGAGUAAUUCGCUUGAGGAGGAGCUUGCGGCAGAUUAGCUAGUUGGUAAGGUAACGGCUUACCAAGGCUACGAUCUGUAUCCGGUCUAAGAGGACGGUCGGACACACUGACACUGAAUAACGGGUCAGACUCCUACGGGAGGCAGCAGUCGGGAAUUUUGGGCAAUGGGCGAAAGCUUGACCCAGCAACGCCGCGUGAAGGAUGGAGUAUUUCGGUAUGUAAACUUCGAAAGAAUGGGAAGAAUAAAUGACGGUACCAUUUAUAAGCUCCGGCUAACUACGUGCCAGCCGCCGCAGUAAGAC
rnacentral:rRNA from 1 species